CUUAUUUCGCGCAGCUUAGGUGGGAGACGUUGAACCUUUUCUUCCGGGAAAGGGGGAGUCAUCAGUGAGAUACCACUCUUGGUAAGCUAGAGCGCUCAUUUUUAACCGUUAUCCGGUAAAAAGACAGUUUCAGGCGGGCAGUUUGACUGGGGCAGUCACCUCCCAAAAGGUAAUGGAGGUGUACAAAGGUUCUCUCAGGCUGGACGGAAAUCAGCCAUAGAGUGUAAAAGCAUAAGAGAGCUUGACUGCGAGACGGACAUGUCAAGCAGAGACGAAAGUCGGUUUUAGUGAUCCGACGGUGCUGAGUGGAAAGGCCGUCGCUCAACGGAUAAGAGUUACUCUAGGGAUAAC
rnacentral:rRNA from 1 species